UGAGCGGCAAUGACGGGGAAUAGUAAAACCGCCCUUCAGGUCCAGAGAGCGAAAUCCACCGGCUGAGAGGUUUCGUCCUUGAAUCGGUUUGAACCCACCCCAGAGCAUCCAGGGAAGACCUGGACAGGUUUCUUUCACCUGUUAUCAAAGAAAGAGAGCCGGGCGUUUCUUGGCUGAAGUAUACCUUCAGUCCAAAACGUCAAAUAAGGUGGUACCGCGUGAGGUUUUCAAGCCCUUUCGUCCUUAUC
rnacentral:ncRNA from 1 species